GUAAACGUUGGAACUAGUUGUGGGGUCCAUUCCACGGAUUCCGUGACGCAGCUAACGCAUUAAGUUCCCCGCCUGGGGAGUACGGCCGCAAGGCUAAAACUCAAAGGAAUUGACGGGGACCCGCACAAGCGGCGGAGCAUGCGGAUUAAUUCGAUGCAACGCGAAGAACCUUACCAAGGCUUGACAUAUACGAGAACGGGCCAGAAAUGGUCAACUCUUUGGACACUCGUAAACAGGUGGUGCAUGGUUGUCGUCAGCUCGUGUCGUGAGAUGUUGGGUUAAGUCCCGCAACGAGCGCAACCCUCGUUCUAUGUUGCCAGCACGUAAUGGUGGGAACUCAUGGGAUACUGCCGGGGUCAACUCGGAGGAAGGUGGGGAUGACGUCAAAUCAUCAUGCCCCUUAUGUCUUGGGCUUCACGCAUGCUACAAUGGCCGGUACAAAGGGCUGCAAUACCGUGAGGUGGAGCGAAUCCCAAAAAGCCGGUCCCAGUUCGGAUUGAGGUCUGCAACUCGACCUCAUGAAGUCGGAGUCGCUAGUAAUCGCAGAUCAGCAACGCUGCGGUGAAUACGUUCCCGGGUCUUGUACACACCGCCCGUCAAGUCAUGAAAGUCGGUAACACCUGAAGCCGGUGGCCUAACCCUUGUGGAGGGAGCCGUCGAAGGUGGAUCGGUAAUUAGGACUU
rnacentral:rRNA from 1 species